UGACGCUGAUGCUCGAAGGCGCGGGUAUCGAACAGGAUUAGAUACCCUGGUAGUCCGCGCGGUAAACGAUGGAUGCCCGCGGUGUGGCCGUUACAGGCUGCGCCGCCAAGCGAAAGCGUUAAGCAUCCCACCUGGGGAGUACGCCGGCAACGGUGAAACUCAAAGGAAUUGACGGGGGCCCGCACAAGCGGAGGAACAUGUGGUUUAAUUCGAUGAUACGCGAGGAACCUUACCCGGGCUUGAAAACGGCGGGAAGGCGGUCAGAGACGUCCGCUGCCACUUCGGUGUCCGCCGUUAGGUGCUGCAUGGUUGUCGUCAGCUCGUGCCGUGAGGUGUCGGCUCAAGUGCCAUAACGAGCGCAACCCCCGCCCUCAGUUGCCAUCGGUAUUUAGCCGGGCACUCUGUGGGGACUGCCAUCGCAAGAUGCGAGGAGGGGGGGGAUGACGUCAAAUCAGCACGGCCCUUACGUCCGGGGCGACACACGUGUUACAAUGGGGGGCACAGCGGGAAGCUGUCCGGCGACGGCACGGCGGAUCCCUUAAAUCCCCUCCCAGUUCGGACUGGAGCCUGCAACCCGGCUCCACGAAGCUGGAUUCGCUAG
rnacentral:rRNA from 1 species